rnacentral:rRNA from 1 species
UACGUAGGGUACAAGCGUUACUCGGAAUUACUGGGCGUAAAGCGUGCGUAGGUGGUUUGUUAAGUCUGAUGUGAAAGCCCUGGGCUCAACCUGGGAAUUGCAUUGGAUACUGGCAGGCUAGAGUGCGGUAGAGGGUAGUGGAAUUCCUAGUGUAGCGGUGAAAUGCGUAGAUAUUAGGAAGAACACCAGCGGCGAAAGCGCGUGACUGGGCCAGUACUGACACUCAUGGACGAAAGCUAGGGGAGCGAAAGGG